GAUGAACGCUGGCGGCGUGCCUAACACAUGCAAGUCGAACGAGGUCGCCUUCGGGCAAUGACCAAGUGGCGAACGGGUGCGUAACACGUGAGAAACCUGCCCCGAAGACUGGGACAACCACGGGAAACUGUGGCUAAUACCAGAUGCCCUCCGCUGAUCGCAUGAUCGGCAGAGGAAAUGCUCCGGCGCUUCGGGAGGGUCUCGCGGCCUAUCAGCUUGUUGGUGAGGUAACGGCUCACCAAGGCAUCGACGGGUAGCUGGUCUGAGAGGACGAUCAGCCACACUGGGACUGAGACACGGCCCAGACUCCUGCGGGAGGCAGCAGUGGGGAAUCUUGCGCAAUGGGCGAAAGCCUGACGCAGCAACGCCGCGUGGGGGAUGAAGGCUCUCGGGUUGUAAACCCCUUUCAGCAGGGACGAAAUUGACGGUACCUGCAGAAGAAGCCCCGGCCAACUACGUGCCAGCAGCCGCGGUGACACGUAGGGGGCGAGCGUUGUCCGGAAUUAUUGGGCGUAAAGAGCUCGUAGGCGGUUUAGUAAGUCAGAUGUGAAAGGUUGGGGCUCAACCCUAAGACUGCAUCCGAUACUGCUAGACUGGAGUCCGGUAGAGGAGUGUGGAAUUCCUGGUGUAGCGGUGAAAUGCGCAGAUAUCAGGAGGAACACCGACGGCGAAGGCAGCACUCUGGGCCGGUACUGACGCUCAGGAGCGAAAGCGUGGGUAGCAAACAGGAUUAGAUACCCUGGUAGUCCACGCCGUAAACGUUGGGCACUAGGUGUGGGGCCUUAUCAACGGGUUCCGUGCCGUAGCUAACGCAUUAAGUGCCCCGCCUGGGGAGUACGGCCGCAAGGCUA
rnacentral:rRNA from 1 species